rnacentral:lncRNA from 1 species
CUAUCCACAAGAGUGUCACCUAAUUUUUUCUUCCACACAGAAAAGCCUGAAAGCUUUCAUCAUUGCAAUAUAGUGAUGUCCUAAGACAGGAGACUGAGACUCAAGAAGAUGCAGUGAUGCUCAGUGUUAACUCCUGAGAGCAGAGAGAAUAUUUAUUGGAUGUAGAAAAUGAUCCAGCUGCAUGUUUUCACAUCAGUCUUUUGUCACAUCCUAUGCUGUUUCUGGGCAUUUUGGAAUGAGGAAACUGAGAACUACAAGUCA